rnacentral:tRNA from 1 species
AGAGGGCCUGCGGUUCAGUGGUAGAGCAUCUGCUUGGCACACAGAAGGUCCCAGGUUCCAAUCCCCAGCAUCUCUA